UUCGGCGGUCACAGCGGCGGGGAAACACCUCUUCCCAUUCCGAACAGAGAAGUUAAGCCCGCUGGCGCCGAUGGUACUCGGAGGGCAACCUCCCGGGAGAGUAGGUAGCCGCCGAUU
rnacentral:rRNA from 1 species